GCUCCGUGCGCGUGUGUACGCAAAUUGUGACAUCGUAGAUAACGAGAACGAUACGACUUAGAACUUUGCACUGCAUACAGUUAAUUAAUAACAUUCAGACAGGCGUACGUGUAAUUUAUAUUAAAUGAAAAAUGUAGUAGUAGAGAAUCGUAAGUGCCAUACGCGUAGAUCUCACUUUUAUGGAUGACCUAUUAGAUUUUUAAAAUAUUUUCGGAGAAACGGAAUCGUAUUAACUGUUCGAAGAACUACUAUCCUGAUCCUGCAAGGACGACGUGUCACGUGGUCUCACGAUGGAGAGGACGGAAUUAAAUGCUCACCCCGAAAUCUGUUCGCCUAAUACAAAACUGGUCGUCUGCUUGAAUUUUCGAUUGACGACCAUUCGACAGCCGAUCAGGCUUAGUCAAUACUAUUCAAUUAAACCUCGAUUUGUAUCAUUUAAACAACGAUAUAACUAUCGACGAUCAAUUUCCUAUUCAAUCAUAAGAAAUCUGCAACACUCUCACAAGUAGCACUAAAGGAGAAAGAAAUAUACGAAGAAUACUAGUACGAAUCUUAAUGUAAUUAUGAAUUAUUCAUCUGAUCUUCAAUGCUAUUAUUAAACAAGAAACCAUACUUA